GAUGAACGCUAGCGGCAGGCUUAAUACAUGCAAGUCGUGGGGCAGCAGGGGUAGCAAUACCCGCUGGCGACCGGCAAACGGGUGCGGAACACGUACGCAACCUUCCUUUAACUGGAGAAUAGCCCCCUCGAAAGAGGGAUUAAUACUCCGUAACAUAUUGAUAAGGCAUCUUAUUAAUAUUAUAGCUCCGGCGGUUAAAGAUGGGCGUGCGGCUGAUUAGAUAGUUGGCGGGGUAACGCCCACCAAGUCUGCGAUCAGUAACUGGUGUGAGAGCACGACCAGUCACACGGGCACUGAGACACGGGCCCGACUCCUACGGGAGGCAGCAGUAAGGAAUAUUGGUCAAUGGACGCAAGUCUGAACCAGCCAUGCCGCGUGGA
rnacentral:rRNA from 1 species